UACAGAGGGUGCGAGCGUUAAUCGGAAUUACUGGGCGUAAAGCGCGCGUAGGCGGCUUUGCAAGUCGGGUGUGAAAUCCCCAGGCUUAACCUGGGAACUGCAUUCGAGACUGCAUUGCUAGAGUAUGGGAGAGGGAAGUGGAAUUUACGGUGUAGCAGUGAAAUGCGUAGAGAUCGUAAGGAAGACCAGUGGCGAAGGCGGCUACCUGGCCCAAUACUGACACUCAGGUGCGACAGCGUGGGGAGCAAACAGG
rnacentral:rRNA from 1 species